CCCUGGUUAGCACAGUUGGUAGAGCGCUCCACUUGUAAAGGAGAGGUCUCGGGUUCGAUACCCGGACCAGGUG
rnacentral:tRNA from 1 species